AGUGCCCCUAGAGGCGGUACAGAUACGACUGCUGUGUCACGUGUGUCAUUAGGUGGCAAAGAGAAAGGCUUGUCUAAUCCAGUGUUGUGAUCUGUGAGCACUGGGUGGUUGAUAGUCUGACACU
ensembl:snoRNA